rnacentral:rRNA from 1 species
CGCGUAGGCGGUUUGGCAAGUCAGAUGUGAAAUCCCCGGGCUUAACUCGGGAAUUGCAUCUGAAACUGCUUUUCUUGAGUCCUGGAGGGGGUAGUGGAAUUCCCAGUGUAGCGGUGAAAUGCGUAGAUAUUGGGAGGAACACCUGUGGCGAAGGCGGCUACCUGGACAGUGACUGACGCUGAGGCGCGAAAGCUAGGGGAGCGAACGG